UUGGAGGGCAAGUCUGGUGCCAGCAGCCGCGGUAAUUCCAGCUCCAAUAGCGUAUAUUAAAGUUGUUGCAGUUAAAAAGCUCGUAGUUGAAUUUCGGGAUCAAUAUUUCGGUCAUGCCGUUGGUAUGCACUGUUAUCAUUGAUUUCUCACCUUCUAAAGAACCGUAAUGCCAUUAAUUUGGUGUUACGGGGAAUUAGGACUGUUACCUUGAAAAAAUUAGAGUGUUUAAAGCAGGCUCACGCUUGAAUACAUUAGCAUGGAAUAAUGAAAUAGGACAUCCGAUUCUAUUUUGUUGGUUUCUAGGAUCGAUGUAAUGAUUAAUAGGGAUAGUUGGGGGCAUUAGUAUUCAAUUGUCAGAGGUGAAAUUCUUGGAUUUAUUGAAGACUAACUACUGCGAAAGCAUUUGCCAAGGAUGUUUUCAUUAAUCAAGAACGAAAGUUAGGGGAUCGAAGACGAUCAGAUACCGUCGUAGUCCUAACCAUAAACUAUGCCGACUAGGGAUCGGAUGAUGUUAAUUUUUUAAUGACUCAUUCGGCGCCUUACGGGAAAC
rnacentral:rRNA from 1 species